AUACAAUUGAGAGCUCCAAUAGGAAAUCAGGUGGUGCUGAUACUCAUUGACUCUGGUAGUACUCACACCUUUGUGGAUCAAGCACUCUUGGACAGAGUUUCAGUGCCUGCGCAAAAAAUGCAGAAACCCAUGCAAGUAAAAGUAGCAAAUGGAGGUCUGGUGGACUGUACCAAGUUUGUGCCUAAGCUAACUUGGUGGAUUCAAGGGCAUAUUUUUUCAAGUGCCAUGCAAGCGCUUCCUCUAGGAGGAUAUGAUAUCAUCUUAGGUAUGGAUUGGCUGGAACAGUGGGGAGUGAUGUAG
rnacentral:rRNA from 1 species